rnacentral:lncRNA from 1 species
CUCAAGAACGUCCUCGUGUUACCAACGGCGAUGAUACACGCAAAAACAUAGGUAUAAAUGUAUAAUGGUGGAUCUGUCUUUUUGAAUUAUUAUUCAAUUCUCACAGUAAACAGAAGUGAAAAUUGGGAAGCCUGUCAUGGUUAUAUACUAGGCCUUGAGGGUGGAUUAGUUCAGUGUCCAAUUCCACGUUAAUCGCUGACAGAAACACGAUAUGUGGUUGAUUUUCCAGCGCUUCCUCUUAGCCAUCUAUUCGUCAUACUCUAGGCUAGGGUGAAAUAACGGUACUCGACCUCUUUGUGUAGUAAAUGAUGCACUACUUGAUCAGUCGUGUGCAUGAGAUCAUGUCCAUUAUGUCUGCAUAUUUGGUGUUGUGACUUGCGUGGGGUGAGUAGCUUAUACUGUAUUUGCCUAGAUCUCAUUCUUCCUGAAAGUAUUUCAUUAAUAUUUGUAUGUGAAAGUACAUCUUAUACCUUGUUAGAUUUUGGUGAUUACUGACAAACCCAAACAGUUGAGUUGAAUGACAAACUAAUUG